AACCUGUGAAAAGUCGUAACAAGGUAGCAGUAACGGAAGUUGUUGCUAGACUAUACAUGCAUAUAU
rnacentral:tRNA from 1 species